GCACAGGGACACAAAAUCUGGGUUGAAAUGGUGGGUCAUAGUAUGCAAUAACUAGGUUGCUAUUUUCUGCUACAUGUCAGCUGAGACCAAGAAAGUGGUCUGUAAACAGAGUUCAGCCUAUAUCACGGGUGCUAAGGACAAGAGCCCAUGAUUGCCUAAAGAAAUCACACCAUUCUGUCUUACUCCUGAGAGGAACAGCAGGGCCCCAUGUUCUUGGGUUCCACUGGAUUCUUCCCAAUACAUGACUUUGGUUUAAGCCAGGGGGGUUCUUUUCU